rnacentral:siRNA from 1 species
UGAGAAACUACUGAUGGAGAUGCU